rnacentral:rRNA from 1 species
GAUGAACGCUGGCGGCGUGCCUAACACAUGCAAGUCGAGCGAAGCACUUUGCUUAGAUUCUUCGGAUGAAGAGGAUUGUGACUGAGCGGCGGACGGGUGAGUAACGCGUGGGUAACCUGCCUCGUACAGGGGGAUAACAGUUAGAAAUGACUGCUAAUACCGCAUAAGACCACAGCACCGCAUGGUGCAGGGGUAAAAACUCCGGUGGUAUGAGAUGGACCCGCGUCUGAUUAGCUAGUUGGUAAGGUAACGGCUUACCAAGGCGACGAUCAGUAGCCGACCUGAGAGGGUGACCGGCCACAUUGGGACUGAGACACGGCCCAAAUCCUACGGGAGCAGCAGUGGGGAAUAUUGCACAAUGGGGGAAACCCUGAUGCAGCGACGCCGCGUGAGCGAAGAGUAUUCGGAUGUAAAGCUCUAUCAGCAGGGAAGAAAAUGACGGUACCUGACUAAGAAGCACCGGCUAAAUACGUGCCAGCAGCCG